AAUGAAGUGCCUGAUUAAAGGAUUAUUGUGAUAGAAUAAUUAAAGUAGAUUUAAUCUACCUUCAUUA
rnacentral:tRNA from 1 species